CAGCUCCCUGUACCCGUCGCUGCUCAGGUUGUAUUUGCCCCGCAGCUCCAGCUGCUUCUCCUCCAGCCGCCGCCGCUCCGAGGUCUCCUGCUCCGACUCCAGGGCGUCGAAGACGGCGGCGCCCACCAGCAGAUGCGACCAGGGCUCAUGGGGAUGGAAAAGCAGGAGAAUGAUUUAACGCCACUGUCGCUCCUGGACCAGAACAGGGCACCAACAGCGGAGGCAGAGAAACCAUUGAAAGAGGAGACAGAGCAGCCGUGAGCUCCCAUUCCGCUCCCAUUCCAGCUCCACCACUGUUUACACGGAAGCAGGAGCAGCCGUUCCCCUUGGCUGCUGCAAUCUACUAGGAGACGCGAGUCGUUCUGUUGGCUACAGCCAUUCCCCAGCACCGCUUCUUUGCUCCUCCGGCUCUGCCCUGCACCGAGCCCGUGGGCAGCCAGUGGAGGGCACUAAAGCUGAGCGAACAGCUGGAGCUGAUGGCGAUUUCUUAUCGUCUGAGCACAGUGGUGUAACGUUACUGGAGGUCACAAGGUCCUCAGCGUAUUGAGAUCGACAGGUUUCUUCGGAUGCUUCCUCCCACAGAGGGCCCAUGGUCAGGGUGGGUCAGGACGCAGGUGUUUAGGAUCCUGCUCCGCACGGCACAAGGCAGCACGACCCCACAGGCAGAGUUAUGGUGCUGGGCAGGCCGCCCUCAGGCUCUGCUGUGUUCUGCUGUGUUGUCAUCCACGUAAUGAAUGGCCAGUACUGGGCCCCCGGGAAGUGUCAGCCCAGUGCGCUGAGCAAGUCCAGCCCUGUGUGUGCGGGGCAAAGGGUCUCUUCACAGGCGAAAGAAAAGCCUGAGGGGGCUUUGACACCAUCCAGCCAGGCUUCUGCAUGACGACACAUCUCAGCUCUGACCCGCCGCCCCCUGCGAUCCCAGUGCUGGGCUUCCCCCGCCCCCUACAGUUCUGCCGACGCCCCCCGAUCCCAACCCAC